rnacentral:tRNA from 1 species
GCCCACGUGGCGGAAUUGGUAGACGCGCAUGGUUCAGGUCCAUGUGCCUUCGGGUGUGGGGGUUCGAGUCCCUUCGUGGGCACCA